rnacentral:rRNA from 1 species
UACGAAGGGGGCUAGCGUUGUUCGGAAUUACUGGGCGUAAAGCGCACGUAGGCGGUUAUUUAAGUCAGGGGUGAAAUCCCAGAGCUCAACUCUGGAACUGCCUUUGAUACUGGGUAUCUCGAGUAUGGAAGAGGUGAGUGGAAUUCCGAGUGUAGAGGUGAAAUUCGUAGAUAUUCGCAAGAACACCAGUGGCGAAGGCGGCUCACUGGCCCGGUACUGACGCUGAGGUGCGAAAGCGUGGGGAGCAAACAGG